rnacentral:rRNA from 1 species
GCAAGUCGAGCGAGAAAUCACUUCGGUGAGAGUACAGCGGCGGACGGGUGAGUAACGCGUAGGAAUCUACCCGGUAGUGGGGGACAACAUGGUGAAAACCAUGCUAAUACCGCAUACGCCCUAUGGGGGAAAGCGGGGGACCUUCGGGCCUCGUGCUAUUAGAUGAGCCUGCGUUGGAUUAGCUAGUUGGUGGGGUAAAGGCCUACCAAGGCGACGAUCCAUAGCUGGUCUGAGAGGAUGAUC